rnacentral:rRNA from 1 species
CUCUCAGUAUGCGGGGGAAACUGUUGCACUAGAGGACGUUAGAGGGGAGUGGAACGCACGGUGUAGGGGUGAAAUCCGUUGAUAUCGUGCGGAACACCAAAAGCGAAGGCAGUCAGCUGGGACGACCCUGACGCUGAGGGACGAAAGCGUGGGGAUCAAAAAGGAUUAGAUACCCUUGUAGUCCACGCUGUAAACGAUGGACACUAGCUGCUUGAAGUGUCGACCCUUCAAGUGGCGAAGCUAACGCGUUAAGUGUCCCGCCUGGGGAGUACGGCGGCAACGCUAAAACUCAAAGGAAUAGACGGGGUUUCACACAAGCGGUGGACCAUGUGGCUUAAUUCGACAAUAAGCGAGGAACCUUACCAGGGCUUGACAGACUAGUGAACGUUCACGGAAACGUGGACCUACCCACAAGGACACUAGUUCAGGUGCUGCAUGGUUGUCGUCAGCAUGUAUCUUGAGACGCUCCCUUAAAUGGGGUAACAUGCGCAACCCUCAUCCUGUGUUUUAUUUGUCACAGGAAACUGCCCGGGACAACCGGGAGGAAGGUGAGGAUGACGCCAAAUCAGCAUGGCCCUUUGAUGCCCUGGGCUGCACACGUGGUACAAUGGGACCGACAAUGGGUUGCCAAGGCGCAAGCUGGAGCUAAUCCCAACAAACGGUCUCACAGUUCGGAUCGAGGUCUGCAACUCGACCUCAUGAAGCUGGAAUCGCUAGUAAUCGCCAAUCAGCCAUGUGGCGAUGA